UCCCACCCUGUGUCGUUAUACCUUCGUUGCUUUGGCGGGCCGCGGGGCCCCGGCCCCGCCCCUGGCUCCGGCUAGGGCGCGCCCGCCAGAGGACCUCAAAACCUGAAUGUUAGUGUCGUCUGAGUACUAUAUAAUAGUUAAAACUUUCAACAACGGAUCUCUUGGUUCUGGCAUCGAUGAAGAACGCAGCGAAAUGCGAUAAGUAAUGUGAAUUGCAGAAUUCAGUGAAUCAUCGAAUCUUUGAACGCACAUUGCGCCCCUUGGUAUUCCGGGGGGCAUGCCUGUUCGAGCGUCAUUACAACCCUCAAGCUCUGCUUGGUCUUGGGCGUCACCGGUCCCGGUGUGCCUUAAAAUCAGUGGCGGCGCCAUCUGGCUCUAAGCGUAGUACAUACUCUCGCUACAGACGUCCGGUGGAUGCUGGCCAGCAACCCCCAACUUAUCAAGGUUGACCUCGGAUCAGGUAGGGAUACCCGCUGAACUUAAGCAUAUCAAUAA
rnacentral:rRNA from 1 species